rnacentral:rRNA from 1 species
GGGUUGUGAGGUUAAGCGACUAAGCGUACACGGUGGAUGCCCUGGCAGUCAGAGGCGAUGAAGGACGUGCUAAUCUGCGAAAAGCGCCGGCGAGGUGAUAUGAACCUUUGACCCGGCGAUGUCCGAAUGGGGAAACCCAGUGCAAUCCGUUGCACUAUCGUUAACUGAAUACAUAGGUUAACGAGGCGAACCGGGGGAACUGAAACAUCUAAGUACCCCGAGGAAAAGAAAUCAACCGAGAUUCCCCCAGUAGCGGCGAGCGAACGGGGAGCAGCCCGGAGUCUGAAUCAGCUUGUGUGUUAGUGGAACGGUCUGGAAAGUCCGACGGUACAGGGUGAUAGUCCCGUACACGAAAGCACACUUGCUGUGAACUCGAAGAGUAGGGCGGGACACGUGGUAUCCUGUCUGAAUAUGGGGGGACCAUCCUCCAAGGCUAAAUACUCCUGACUGACCGAUAGUGAACCAGUACCGUGAGGGAAAGGCGAAAAGAACCCCGGCGAGGGGAGUGAAAAAGAACCUGAAACCGUGUACGUACAAGCAGUGGGAGCCUACUUGUUAGGUGACUGCGUACCUUUUGUAUAAUGGGUCAGCGACUUAUAUUCUGUAGCAAGGUUAACCGUAUAGGGGAGCCGAAGGGAAACCGAGUCUUAACUGGGCGUUAAGUUGCAGGGUAUAGACCCGAAACCCGGUGAUCUAGCCAUGGGCAGGUUGAAGGUUGGGUAACACUAACUGGAGGACCGAACCGACUAAUGUUGAAAAAUUAGCGGAUGACCUGUGGCUGGGGGUGAAAGGCCAAUCAAACCGGGAGAUAGCUGGUUCUCCCCGAAAGCUAUUUAGGUAGCGCCUCGUGAAUUCAUCUUCGGGGGUAGAGCACUGUUUCGGCUAGGGGGCCAUCCCGGCUUACCAACCCGAUGCAAACUACGAAUACCGAAGAAUGUUAUCACGGGAGACACACGGCGGGUGCUAACGUCCGUCGUGAAGAGGGAAACAACCCAGACCGCCAGCUAAGGUCCCAAAGUCAUGGUUAAGUGGGAAACGAUGUGGGAAGGCACAGACAGCCAGGAUGUUGGCUUAGAAGCAGCCAUCAUUUAAAGAAAGCGUAAUAGCUCACUGGUCGAGUCGGCCUGCGCGGAAGAUGUAACGGGGCUAAACCAUGCACCGAAGCUGCGGCAGCGACACUAUGUGUUGUUGGGUAGGGGAGCGUUCUGUAAGCCGUUGAAGGUGUCCUGUGAGGGGUGCUGGAGGUAUCAGAAGUGCGAAUGCUGACAUAAGUAACGAUAAAGCGGGUGAAAAGCCCGCUCGCCGGAAGACCAAGGGUUCCUGUCCAACGUUAAUCGGGGCAGGGUGAGUCGACCCCUAAGGCGAGGCCGAAAGGCGUAGUCGAUGGGAAACAGGUUAAUAUUCCUGUACUUGGUGUUACUGCGAAGGGGGGACGGAGAAGGCUAUGUCAGCCGGGCGACGGUUGUCCCGGUUUAAGCAUGUAGGCGGAGGUUCCAGGUAAAUCCGGUACCUUAUUAACGCUGAGGUGUGAUGACGAGGCACUACGGUGCUGAAGUGAUAAAUGCCCUGCUUCCAGGAAAAGCCUCUAAGCAUCAGGUAACACGAAAUCGUACCCCAAACCGACACAGGUGGUCAGGUAGAGAAUACCAAGGCGCUUGAGAGAACUCGGGUGAAGGAACUAGGCAAAAUGGUGCCGUAACUUCGGGAGAAGGCACGCUGAUAUGUAGGUGAAGUCCCUGCGGACGGAGCUGAAAUCAGUCGAAGAUACCAGCUGGCUGCAACUGUUUAUUAAAAACACAGCACUGUGCAAACACGAAAGUGGACGUAUACGGUGUGACGCCUGCCCGGUGCCGGAAGGUUAAUUGAUGGGGUCAGCGGCAACGCGAAGCUCUUGAUCGAAGCCCCGGUAAACGGCGGCCGUAACUAUAACGGUCCUAAGGUAGCGAAAUUCCUUGUCGGGUAAGUUCCGACCUGCACGAAUGGCGUAAUGAUGGCCAGGCUGUCUCCACCCGAGACUCAGUGAAAUUGAACUCGCUGUGAAGAUGCAGUGUACCCGCGGCAAGACGGAAAGACCCCGUGAACCUUUACUAUAGCUUGACACUGAACACUGGUCCUUGAUGUGUAGGAUAGGUGGGAGGCUUUGAAGCGUGGACGCCAGUCUGCGUGGAGCCAACCUUGAAAUACCACCCUUUAAUGGCUGGUGUUCUAACGUAGACCCGUAAUCCGGGUUGCGGACAGUGUCUGGUGGGUAGUUUGACUGGGGCGGUCUCCUCCCAAAGAGUAACGGAGGAGCACGAAGGUUGGCUAAUCCUGGUCGGACAUCAGGAGGUUAGUGCAAUGGCAUAAGCCAGCUUGACUGCGAGCGUGACGGCGCGAGCAGGUGCGAAAGCAGGUCAUAGUGAUCCGGUGGUUCUGAAUGGAAGGGCCAUCGCUCAACGGAUAAAAGGUACUCCGGGGAUAACAGGCUGAUACCGCCCAAGAGUUCAUAUCGACGGCGGUGUUUGGCACCUCGAUGUCGGCUCAUCACAUCCUGGGGCUGAAGUAGGUCCCAAGGGUAUGGCUGUUCGCCAUUUAAAGUGGUACGCGAGCUGGGUUUAGAACGUCGUGAGACAGUUCGGUCCCUAUCUGCCGUGGGCGCUGGAGAAUUGAGGGGGGCUGCUCCUAGUACGAGAGGACCGGAGUGGACGCAUCACUGGUGUUCGGGUUGUCAUGCCAAUGGCACUGCCCGGUAGCUAAAUGCGGAAGAGAUAAGUGCUGAAAGCAUCUAAGCACGAAACUUGCCCCGAGAUGAGUUCUCCCUGAGACCUUGAGUCUCCUGAAGGAACGUUGAAGACGACGACGUUGAUAGGUCGGGUGUGUAAGCGCAGCGAUGCGUUGAGCUAACCGAUACUAAUGAACCGUGAGGCUUAACCUUACAACGCCGAAGCUGUU